rnacentral:rRNA from 1 species
AGUGAACGCUGGCGGUAGGCCUAACACAUGCAAGUCGAACGGCAGCACAGUAAGAGCUUGUUCUUACGGGUGGCGAGUGGCGGACGGGUGAGGAAUACAUCGGAAUCUACUUUUUCGUGGGUGAGAACGUAGGGAAACUUACGCUAAUACCGCAUACGACCUACGGGUGAAAGCAGGGGAUCUUCGGACCUUGCGCGAUUGAAUGAGCCGAUGUCGGAUUAGCUAGUUGGCGGGGUAAAGGCCCACCAAGGCGACGAUCCGUAGCUGGUCUGAGAGGAUGAUCAGCCACACUGGAACUGAGACACGGUCCAGACUCCUACGGGAGGCAGCAGUGGGGAAUAUUGGACAAUGGGCGAAAGCCUGAUCCAGCCAUACCGCGUGGGUGAAGAAGGCCUUCGGAUUGUAAAGCCCUUUUGUUGGGAAAGAAAAGCAGCAGGUUAAUACCCCGCUGUUCUGACGGUACCCAAAGAAUAAGCACCGGCUAACUUCGUG